rnacentral:lncRNA from 1 species
CCGACUCGGAGCCCCCAGCUCCGCGCGAGCAGCUAGCCGGGCUGGCUCUCGGUGUGUGCCCUUCGGAUGGUCUGCUGAAGAGGGCCGCCAGCUGGACUUCUGUAGACAAGACAGAUACUGUAAAGACAGCAAAGAACAAACAGAAUGGCAGAUUGCUAAUGUUUGAUCCAAACGAAAAAGUGAUGAUUGAAUCAAACGAAGCAAUGUCAGAGUAAGAAGAUGUCUUUGAUUGUGCAGCUGAUCUCUCCCAUGCCUUUUAAGCAAUUAGAACUAGAUAAUGCAGCCAUUUGUCACCCAAUUAAAUUUGAAAGGCCAGAAAUGCAUGGAUUAGCACUUCAGCUUUUGCUGCAGUCAAAGCAAUUGUUACUAUAGAUAGAAGGACAGUUAAAAUGAAAAAUGAAUUUUGAUAAAAAUGCAGAAGUAUAGAUAAUAUUCACUUCUACUUUUUAAUGCUUAAACACCCUGUAUUCUGUAUUUUACUUGUAUCAUAAUUUUCAUUGCUCAUUCCUAUUUCCCUUUGAUACUUAUUUCUUUCACAAUAUUUCUUCAAGUGAAUAUGUACUUUAAAAUUAACAAAUUAUUUACUAUAACAUGAAUUGUUACUACUCAAUAAAGAAAGUAAUCACCUCAACUAGUUGAAGAAACUGGUGUUAAAAAAAUUGUAUUCUUUCCAGCCUUUUGGCUAAGAUCAAGUGUAAAAAAAUCACAGUACAAUAUCAAUUUAGUAGCUAAAUUUUAAAUAUCUUCUCUGUUCAAGGCUCUGAUUCUGAUAAUCUAU